rnacentral:lncRNA from 1 species
UCCCAUCAGACAACAACCAUCCACCUUCCGUUUCCCAUUUUAAAUGGGGAAGAAUCAGCAACAGCCAUAGAUCCACCUUAAACAGAGGUCUCGGGUCUCAUCACCCUAUUAUCAAGCAAAGCAAAACGCCUCCCCGCCUGCCAUAGCUAAGACCAACCAAUUCAACCAUGUUCCAGAGCAUCAGGGAAGACGAGCAGCAGAGGCGAGAGAAGAGUUAACAAGGGCUCAGGC